rnacentral:pre_miRNA from 1 species
CGGUUGUCGCGGGUGCUGGACCCGGGAUUUGAAGCAGUAAUUUAGAUUCUGUUACAAUGCCUAUGGGUCUAGUAGUUGCAGUGCCGCUC